rnacentral:lncRNA from 10 species
UGUGAGACUGUGACCCUGUGUCAUGUGCACACGUGGCUGUGUAGGAGUGUGGCAUGUGUGUGACUGGGACCCUGUGUCAUGUGUACACGUGGCUGUGUAGGAGUGUGGCAUGUGUGUGACUGGGACCCUGUGUCAUGUGUACACGUGGCUGUGUAGGAGUGUGGUGUGUGUGUGACUGGGACCCUGUGUCAUGUGCACACGUGGCUGUGUAGGAGUGUGGCGUGUGUGUGACUGGGACCCUGUGUCAUGUGCACAUGUGGCUGUGUAGGAGUGUGGUGUGUGAGACUGCGACCCUGUGUCAUGUGCACACAUGGCUGUGUAGGCGUGUGUGGGUGCAUGUGUGUGCAUGUAUGCAUCAAGACUUCACAGGGACACUUUAAAAUAGCAACAGUGGGCCGGGCACGGUAGCUCACGCCUGUAAUCUCAGCACGUUGGGAGGCCAAGGCGGGUGGAUCACGAGGUCAGGAGUUCG